CGGUGGAGUGGUUUUCUUUGUGGCACAACCGUUUUAAGUUUACAAAUGGGCCUGACUCUGCCGCAUGUUUUAUAUAGGAGCUGGCAAAGGUUUGAUGACAAAGAUCGCUCUCUAGCUAUUCCCACUCAUGGAAAUUGGUCCCCACAUGU